GGGCCUGUAGCUCAGCCUGGCAGAGCAUUGGUCUUAUACGCCAGUGGUCAACGGUUCAAAUCCGUUCAGGCCCA
rnacentral:tRNA from 1 species